rnacentral:rRNA from 1 species
AUGCCAGCGGCGAUGGCCGGCGGCUCAGGCGGCAUGGGCAGCGGUCCUCGAUCCCUCGAUUGCCGCAGCUUCUGGAAAGCCGGCGCGUUCGAGGCCCCCUCCGCCGCCACCCGCGAGUCCCACGACGUGCUGGAGACAGGGGACUUCGACCGCGCGCGGGUGCACCCCAAGUUCCUCCACACCAACGCGACCUCCCACAAGUGGGCGUUCGGAGCUAUAGCUGAACUUCUUGACAAUGCAGUUGAUGAGAUUUGCAAUGGAGCCACAUUUGUAAAAGUGGAUAAAAGCAUCAAUUUAAAAGACAGUAGCCCAAUGCUGGUUUUCCAAGACGAUGGAGGAGGAAUGGAUCCUGAAGGUGUGCGGCAAUGCAUGAGUUUAGGAUUCUCAACCAAGAAAUCAAAGACAACCAUUGGCCAGUAUGGAAAUGGCUUUAAGACGAGCACAAUGAGACUUGGUGCUGAUGCAAUUGUUUUUACUCGUGCAAUCCGUGGGAGUAAUGUUACCUUGAGUGUUGGCUUGCUCUCAUACACUUUCUUGAGGAGAACAAUGAAGGAUGACAUAGUUGUCCCUGUGCUCGAUUUUCAAAUCCAAGAUGACCACAUUGUACCUUUGGUGUAUGGUUCACAAGGUGAUUGGGAUAGUAGCUUGAAGAUAAUACUUGAUUGGUCCCCCUUUUCUUCAAUGGGAGAACUGCUACAGCAGUUCAAGGAUAUUGAGAGCCAUGGAACUAAGGUGGUGAUAUACGAUCUAUGGAUGAAUGAUGAUGGCCUUUUAGAACUUGACUUUGAUGAUGACGAUGAGGACAUAUUACUUAGAGAUCAAGCUAAAGCUACUGCGGGGACGACAAAGAUCCAAAAAGAAAUUAUUGAGCAACAUAUAUCCCACAGACUCAGAUUCUCUUUGCGAGCGUAUACUUCCAUCCUUUAUCUUAAGAAGUAUGCAAACUUCCAAAUUAUAUUAAGAGGAAAAGUGGUUGAACAUAUAAACAUUGCUCAUGAUCUGAAGUUCAAGAAAAUAUUUACUUACAAGCCUCAAGUCACGCAUGAUUCUCAAGUGGUCUCAGUGAAGGUAGAUGUCGGAUUUGCCAAGGAGGCGCCAGUUUUGGGCAUUUUUGGGAUGAAUGUCUACCAUAAAAACCGACUAAUAAUGCCCUUCUGGAAGGUUCUUCAGGAAGGAUCUAGCAGAGGGAGGAGUGUUGUAGGUGUACUUGAGGCAAAUUUUAUUGAACCGGCACAUGACAAACAGGAUUUCGAGAGGACUCCACUAUUCAUUCGUUUGGAAACAAAACUUAGACAAAUUAUCAUUGAGUACUGGAAAAACAACUGUCAUUUGAUAGGUUACCAGCCAAUGAAUCCACAAUUAAAAACACAGUAUAAGGCUGCCAAAGGUUCAGGUGGUCCUGGACAUCAGUUUCAGCAGAAAUCAUCGACUGCUCAGAGGAUUGGAGCGCAUUCAUCAUCGACUGCUCAGAGGAUUGGAGCGCAUUCAUCAAAUUUGCUACCGGAAACAUAUGAUGAUGCAGCAGUCUUUGGACUGAGAACUAAUGGUGCAGGUUCUGGGUUGCAAUUUUCUGGCCAAGCACAAGAAAACAGUACGAAUUCAGCAAGCUUGGAAGAGGAUCUAGUCAAUAUUGCCUCUGAUGCUGAACUUGAUCCUAAUUUCAUUGAGAAGCUGAGUGAUGAAAACAUUUCUCUGUUCACAAGGCGCGAAGAGCUUAAACAACGAGAUACACAAUUGAAGCAGACGAUUUUGGAGUUGGAGCAUGAACUAGAGGAAACAAAAAGGAAAUGCUCUCAGCUUUCUACUGAGCUGCAGGUGCGGAAGAGCCAGCAGCAGCUCCCGUACAUGUGA